AUGCUAAAUUUGUCUGUGUUUCUGCAGGCAUGUGGUGUGAUCAUUGUUAACCAUUGUAUUCAUAUGUUUGAAACUUAUCUAUACACUUAUCCCAAGCAAUCUUGCACUGCCCUACUCUUAAAAUUUAGCCAACCUUACAUUGUUACUAAUAACACUUCAUUUAUCAAGGUGUACGAAAUCCUUCCAGCUCUAUUGGUGUGGGGAGAGAUAUCGAGGCAGAAGGAAGUGGGCUCAACCUAUCAACACAAUUUGUCUGAUGUUAUUUUACAAGGAUUAUUGCUUCCUUUAUUUUUCUUGCUAUUACUUCAAAACUUUAGCCUCCUUUCCUAA
rnacentral:rRNA from 1 species